rnacentral:tRNA from 1 species
UAGGGGGUACUAUAAUGGAAGUAGGAAGCAUUUUGAUUGCUUUUGAGUGGGUUCGAGUCCCAUCCCCCUAG